rnacentral:rRNA from 1 species
GCACAGCACUCCUACGGGAGGCAGCAGUGGGGAAUAUUGCACAAUGGGCGCAAGCCUGAUGCAGCCAUGCCGCGUGUAUGAAGAAGGCCUUCGGGUUGUAAAGUACUUUCAGCAGUGAGGAAGGUGGGUAUGUUAAUAGCAUAUUCAUUUGACGUUAGCUGCAGAAGAAGCACCGGCUAACUCCGUGCCAGCAGCCGCGGUAAUACGGAGGGUGCGAGCGUUAAUCGGAAUUACUGGGCGUAAAGCGCAUGCAGGUGGUUUGUUAAGUCAGAUGUGAAAGCCCGGGGCUCAACCUCGGAAUUGCAUUUGAAACUGGCAAACUAGAGUACUGUAGAGGGGGUAGAAUUUCAGGUGUAGCGGUGAAAUGCGUAGAGAUCUGAAGGAAUACCGGUGGCGAAGGCGGCCCCCUGGACAGAUACUGACACUCAGAUGCGAAAGCGUGGGGAGCAAACAGGAUUAGAUACCCUGGUAG